rnacentral:rRNA from 1 species
ACGAACGCUGGCGGCGUGCCUAAUACAUGCAAGUAGAACGCUGAAGAGAGGAGCUUGCUCUUCUUGGAUGAGUUGCGAACGGGUGAGUAACGCGUAGGUAACCUGCCUUGUAGCGGGGGAUAACUAUUGGAAACGAUAGCUAAUACCGCAUAACAAUGGAUGACACAUGUCAUUUAUUUGAAAGGGGCAAUUGCUCCACUACAAGAUGGACCUGCGUUGUAUUAGCUAGUAGGUGAGGUAAUGGCUCACCUAGGCGACGAUACAUAGCCGACCUGAGAGGGUGAUCGGCCACACUGGGACUGAGACACGGCCCAGACUCCUACGGGAGGCAGCAGUAGGGAAUCUUCGGCAAUGGGGGCAACCCUGACCGAGCAACGCCGCGUGAGUGAAGAAGGUUUUCGGAUCGUAAAGCUCUGUUGUAAGUCAAGAACGGGUGUGAGAGUGGAAAGUUCACACUGUGACGGUAGCUUACCAGAAAGGGACGGCUAACUACGUGCCAGCAGCCGCGGUAAUACGUAGGUCCCGAGCGUUGUCCGGAUUUAUUGGGCGUAAAGCGAGCGCAGGCGGUUUGAUAAGUCUGAAGUUAAAGGCUGUGGCUCAACCAUAGUUCGCUUUGGAAACUGUCAAACUUGAGUGCAGAAGGGGAGAGUGGAAUUCCAUGUGUAGCGGUGAAAUGCGUAGAUAUAUGGAGGAACACCGGUGGCGAAAGCGGCUCUCU